rnacentral:lncRNA from 1 species
CUCGAAGCUGUUUCAGUACUAUCUGGAUAAAUCCACUCCACAUUCCACGUACAGAUGGAUUGGGACUUUUGUGAUAGCAUCCAUCUACGUUUUACGCGUUGUUUAUGUGCAGGGGUUUUACAUUGUCUCUUAUGGCCUCGGAAUCUACCUUCUGAAUCUCUUGAUUGGUUUUCUCUCCCCUUUGGUCGAUCCAGAGCUCGAUCCCUCCGAUUCCCCUUUGCUUCCCACCAAAGGCUCCGAUGAGUUCAAACCCUUCAUUCGCCGCCUCCCCGAGUUCAAGUUCUGGUAAUUUCCAUUUCUAUUCCUUAAUUUUAAGUUCUGUUCAUUCAGUAUUCUUUUGCAUGACUGCAAUUAUAAUAAUUACUAUAGUCUUGUUUGGAUAAACCUUUUCAUAAGCAUUUACAAGAAGAUAAGAUAAAAUGAUUCAGUCUCUGAUUGAUAAACUGUUAAAAUGAUCUGAGUUUCUCUUAAGUUGGUUUAUAGAAAUUCUCUCAUAUAGGCCUUGAUUAAUUUUUAAUAUUUAAUCAUGUUAAUAUGUAAAAAAUAGAAAAACGUGUAUUAAAUGGUGAGAUUUUUAAAUUGCACGCUCUCUAGUUUUUCUCAAGUGGAGACUGAGGAUCCGUGCUCCUUAUUUAGCUUCUCUAAAAGCUGAUUUUAACUUUUGCAUAAUCUAAUUCUAACUAAUAGGAGUGUAAACACUUGUAUGUAGGAGAAGAAAAUAGGAAGGCAAAAUGAAUUGAGCUUCUCCUAUGAAUUAAAAUCAACUUAUGCAUCUCAGCUUGUGGAGAAAUUAAAUGCAAGAGUUUCUAUAUAAGCUAAAUGUGUAUAAGUUGAUUUUAACUUGUGAGAAAAACUCAAAUCGUUUCUAUAUAAGCUAAGUGUAUAAGUUGAUUUAAACAAGUGUUUAUAAGUUUAUUCAAAUAUGGCUUAAUUCAUUUUACCCUUUGUUUUCUCCUCUUAUAAGUGUUUGUUAAGAUUUUUAGUCAAAUAGGACCUUAAGCUUCUCCUAUAAAUUAAAAUCAUCCUAUGUAAUGAGUAGUGAUUUUCAGUGGUGUGAGUUUCACUUGUAUGUGCAAUUUAUUUAUUUAAAGUGGCUGCUGCUAUUAAUGUGCGUGAAUUCUUGUAAUGGGCGCAGGUAUUCUUUCACGAAGGCUCUCUGCAUAGCAUUUGUGAUGACUUUUUUUUCCCUGUUUGAUGUUCCUGUCUUUUGGCCUAUAUUACUCUGUUACUGGUUUGUUCUCUUUGUCCUUACAAUGAGACGCCAAGUUGCACACAUGAUGAAAUACAAAUAUAUCCCCUUCAACUUGGGGAAGCAGGUUGAUUUUCUUAUGCUUAAAUUUCCCUUCCAUCAUAUACCUUGGAUUUACUUUCUGCCUGAAAUAUAACACUGUUUCUUUUAAUAUUUGGCAGAAGUAUAGCGGUAAGAAAUCUUCUGCAAGUAGCAGUGGCUCUCGUGCAGACUGAAACUUGCUUCUCACGAUUCAAAGAUCUACUUAGUUAGGUUUUGUGAACAUUCAGGGUAGUUAAUUCCCCCCCUUUCUAUGAAAGAAUUUGUAUUCAUGGUAUUAUGGAUGCCAGUAUGCAUUAUGCAGUUACAGAAAAUCUUAAUGUCCACUCGUUUUAUUAUACAUGAAGAAUUGGUGAUUGAUAGUGAAUCUCAUUGUCGGUACACAUGUUAUUGAUUGGAUUUUUCUUGUAAAUCUCAGCUUGUAUUGUGAAUUUGUGAUGCUGUAAUUUUUCCUUGCCCGGUAGCUUCUAUCUCAAUAUUAAGGCAAAGUUUAUCUAUCGCUUUCGCUCUCUGUCUGCCUCAACUACAUCGUUCAGAUUAGGUAGGGUUUUGAACAUCAUCACCGAAAGUUGAGAGAUCGGAUAGGUUCAGGCUUAGCUCUUAAAGUAAGUCAAAUUUUGGGCCCAUUUCUUAGGAUGCUGUUGAUAGCAGAUGUGUUUCUAAGCUUUUCAGACUUCAGAUAGUGUCCAUUUGAUUUGUGAGUAUUGGACGUUUUGCAUAUACCAAUCAGUUAUUUUUUCACAGGGACUUGUGCAAAUGACGGUGGGUGUCGCUAUUUUAAGCGAAAGAAGAACUUGAACCAUUUCAUAAACGAGAGCAAUUUUUUUUAAUUAUUCUAUUUCUACUUGCUAAAAGGCUGAUCAAACUCGCCACUAAACAUACUAGUCCAAGUUUAAAGUUAAAAAUUUUGUUUAACAAGUCAUGCAAGUAAUAAUUUGCACAUUUUAAAUUAAUAAUUUGCAAAAAAAAUAAAAUCCUUAAUGCAAGUAUUUCUUACAUUUUAAAAUAAGUGUUGUUUUAGUAAAUUCCUCCAUGGAGUGGAUUGCUUGGUUUUGGUGGGAUGAUAUAAUUAUUUGGAAAAAUCAUGAUUAUUUAGAAACAAAAGAGUUAUUUAAAUAUUGGAAAAUGAGAAGAAGAAAAAAUAGCGAGACUCGUAUUGUAUGGGUAAAAUAUAAGAAAUAAAUAUGCAUGAAGAUGCUUUAUUGUGUAAAUGUGAAACGCCGUACAAAGUUGGACAGAGAAGGAAAGGCUUUGAUACAAUCGAUCUAUCGGCUGGUUUGGGCAUAAGAAAGCUGGAGGCAAAAUCAUGAUGAUGUAUUGGGCCUGUAAAGCCCAUUUGAGCGAAGCUUUCUGAAUUUGACGGAAAUAAUAAUAAAAUAAAAUAAAAGCGAACCCCGAGCAUGUAUUGUAGAUUGUAGAUCCAUCCGCAUCCGCUAGCUCGCGCAGGCACCAGCAGGUCAGCUCCAAGGGUUUCUUUUGUUCUUUUCUCCUUAUCCAUCCAGAUCCCUUACCAAUAAUAUCCUAUUGUUUUGCUUUGUUCGGAAACAAAACCCUAAUUUUGGGAUCACAGGUGAGGUUAUUGUGAUUUGAAUGGAGGGAAGUGGAGGUGGCGGUGCUUCACCGUCUGCACCGUUGAAGCAAUACUUACAGGAAUUCUCGAAGCUGUUUCAGUACUAUCUGGAUAAAUCCACUCCCCAUCCCCCCUACAGGUGGAUUGGGACUUUCGUCAUUGCAUCCAUCUACGUUUUGCGUGUUGUUUAUGUGCAGGGGUUUUACAUUGUCUCUUAUGGCCUCGGAAUCUACCUCCUCAAUCUCUUGAUUGGCUUUCUCUCCCCUUUGGUUGAUCCAGAACUCGAUCCCUCCAACGCCCCUAUGCUUCCUACCAAAGGCUCCGAUGAGUUCAAACCCUUCAUUCGCCGCCUCCCUGAGUUCAAGUUCUGGU